rnacentral:lncRNA from 10 species
UGGGAAUUUCUGCCUAGAUUUCAGCAGAUGUAUGGAAAUGCCUAGAUUCCCAGGCAAAAGUUUGCUGCAGGGGCGGGGCGCUCAUAGAGAACCUCUUCUAGGGCAAUGUGAAAGGAAAUGUGGGGUUGGAUACCCCACGUAGAGUCCCUACUGCAGCACUGCCUAGUGGAGCUGUGAGAAGAGGACUACCGUCCUUCAGAUCCCAGAAUGGUAGAUUCCCCGAUAGCUUGCACUUUGCACCUGGAAAAGCUGCAGACACUCAAAGCCAGCCGUUAAAGCAGCCAGGAGGGAGACUGUACCCUGCAGAGCCACAGGGGCGGAGCUGCCCAAGACCGUGGGAACCCACCUCUUGCAUCAGCGUGACCUGAAUGUGAGACCUGGAGAAAAAGGAGAUAAUUUUGGAGCUUUAAAAUUUGACUGCCCCACUGGAUUUUGGACUUGCAUGGGCCCUGUAACCCCUUUUUUGGGGCCAAUUUCUCCCAUUUGAAAUGGCUGUUGUGUCUAGGAAGUAACUAGCUUGUUUUUGAUUUUACAGGCUCAUAGGUAGAAGGGACUUGCAUCGUCUCAGAGACUUUGGACUUCAGGCUUUUGGGUUAAUGCAGAAAUGAGUUAAGACUUAACGGUGAUUGUUGGGAAGGCAGUACCCCAGGGAGAGGUAAUUGAAUCAUGAGGGCCGGUCUUUCCUGUGCUGUUCUCCUGAUAGUGAAUAAGUCUCGCGAGAUCUGAUGGGUUUAUCAGGGGUUUCCGCUAUUGUUUCGUCCUCAUUUUCUCUUGCUGCUACCAUGGAAGAAGCGACUUUCGCCUCCCGCCGUGAUUCUGAGGCCUUUCCAGCCAUGUCAAACUCAAAAUGUGACUGAAAAACAGAAGCAUUUGGAAUACGUAACAGAAGUCAUUAAAAAGAGCCAUGUAAUAUGUGCCUGCUUCCCCUUCUGCCAUGAUUGUAAGUUUCCUGAUGCCUUCUCAGCCAUGCAGAACUGAAUCCAUUAUUGUUUGCAUUAUCAUUGACGACUGUGAGAAUCUGCAGAAAAAAACAGUAUGGAACUACAACUUCACGUUCUUGAGAAAAGCUUGCAGUGUAAGAUGCGUUUGUUUGUGGUGCCUGAGGAAGAGAGAGAAAAAGAAGAAAAAGAAGAGGAAGGAGGAAGAGGAGGAAAAGGAAGAGGAAAAGGAGGAAAAGGAAGAGGAGAAGGAGGAAAAAAAAUAAAAUAAAUAAAAUACUACCUAUAGUAAAGGGCAUUUCUCAAACUUGGGUCUGACCCAGAUGGCCUUAAUCUUUCCCUUAGCUUGACUAAAUAUUACACGGACUUCUUGCUGCUUCUAGAUUUCUGGACUUCCUCUCACUCUUGCCUUUAUAGAAUCUAGAUGGUCUAAAUUCUAGAUUUUAGAGAAUUUAAAAUCAGAGAGGCCCCUCUUCUCUCUCUUUUUUUUUUUUUUUUUUUUUGACAGGCUUGCUCUGUCACCCAGGCUGGAGGCUGGAGUGCAGUGGCGCGAUCUUGGCCCACUGCAAGCUCUGCCUCCUGGUUUCACGCCAUUCUCCUGCCUCAGCCUCCCAAGUAGCUGGGACUACAGGUGCCCGCCACCACGCCUGGCUAGUUUUUUGUAUUUUUAGUGGAGUUGGGGUUUCACUGUGUUAGCCAGGAUGGUCUCUGUCUCCUGACCUGGUGAUCUGCCCACCUAGGCCUCCCAAAGUGGUGGGAUUACAGGCAAGACCCACCACGACCGGCCUCCCUUUUCUUAAAAUAUUUACUUUGGAAAUCUGAUGACUACAGAUUUUUUUCCUCUGGCCCUUUGAGAAAGGGUUUUCAAAUUAAGCAAUUGACUUUUAUAGUCCAUGAAUGUCUUAGCCAAGGACCUAGGAGACAUCUCUUUGAAAUAUAAUCAUCAAUGGAGAUAGUACCUCUGUCUUCCAGUUUCUGUGGGGAGAGUUGAAGCCUAACUUCAUAUCAAGUCUAGCUCCAAAUAGUAAAACUAUCCCCUAUCAUGAUGAUACAAGAAACUUUACCUUUCACUUGAGUAAGCCCAACUAGCAAACACAGAUGGCUUAAGGUUCUUCCAACCUCAGCUCUUAAAAACUCUCCAGGCCUUUGUUUCAACAGAGCUUAAUUCAGACUGAAUUUUGCUCCUCUCCUAUAUCACAGUAGCCUUACAUAGUCUUCCUUACCUAUGUGGCUUUCCAAUGAGAUUUUUACUUUAACAAUGCAUCUCUAUCAAGAUCACCAGGAUCCUUGUCCAAAAUCUCAAUUUCUUCUGGCCCUGAUACAGACCUACAUAAGUAAAAUUCCUGUGACUUGGCAUUCUGUAUUUUUUCAUUAAAUUAUAUGGAUAAUUACAGACUGAAAACAAUUAUUAUCAGACCCCCACCCUGAUAAGCAUAUCUUCAAAUUUCUGGUUCCUAAAAUUAAGUUCCUUUCUAUAUAAAUUUAUUUUCCAAUUAUUUGUUGCUUCAAUAUAUGGUUUAAUUAGUAUUGAAAACACAAAAACACAAAUUAACAAAAAAAAUAUAUUUGAGUGCUACUUAUCUUUUAAAGCCUGGCGUCCAUGGAGCUCAUUUGCAUGGGUUUCUGUAAAAAAGUACCACAAACUGGAUGGCUUAAACAACAGAAACUUAUAGAGGCCAGAGGUCCAAGAUAAAAGUGUCAACAGGAUUGGUUCCUUCUGAGGUCUAUGAAAGAGAACAUUAUUUAUGCCCCUCUCCUAGUGUCUAGUGGUCUGUUGGCAAUCUUUGCUAUUCCUUGACUUGUUUGUAUUAGGUUGGUGCAAAAGCAAUUGCAGUUUUUGCAAUUACUUUUAAUGGCAAAAACUGCAAUUACUUUUGCACCAAUCUAAUAGACAUAUCACCUAGAAUCUGCCUUCACAUUCAAAUGAUGUUCUACUUGUGUAUGUUUGUGUUUAAAUUUCCUCUUUUUUAUAGAGACACCAGUUCUAUUGGAUUAGUGGCCCACCCUACUUCCAUAUAACCUCAUCUUAACUAAUUACAUCUGCAACUACCCUAUUUCCAAAUAAGGUCACAUUCUGAGGCCCUGGAGUUAUGACUUUAACAUAUAAAGUCAUAUAUAUUUUUGCAGGAUCCAAUUCCAACCAUAAUAGAUGCACAUCUCUAAAGAAGUACAAAGACUUCAAUCCCAUCCUGUUCCUUCUUCUUACUGUGGAAACAUGUCCCAAUCUUCAUUAGGGAGUUUGAAAAUUGCUCAAAUCAACUUUGCUGGCUUUGGGUAUAACAACAGGUUUUAUGCAUAGAGGUGAGAAGAAAAUUAGUUUUAUUUCCACAUGCUUUGUUUCAUUACUACCACCUUAAGGUCCAAAGUAGACGGAUAAGUGAUGGAGAAGAUAACAGGCCCAUGGAAUGUUUCUUAUGAGAAAAACAUGGAUAAAAGAAAACUUACAUCAUAUUUCCCAGAGGGCUGAGUAGAGCAAGGAGUGUGGUGAGCUUGAGGCAUGCCAAAGAAUAAGAGAAAAUGCUCCGAAGAAAGAAUGGGAGAAAUGAGUUUUGAUUAGCAAAGACAUGGAAUCAGCCUAAAUGCCCAUCAAUGGUAUACCAGAUAAAGAAAAUGUAUAUAUACACCAUGGAAUACUAUGCAGCCAUAAAAAAGAAUGAGAUCAUGAUAUUUGCCACAAUAUGGAUGGAGCUGGUUAUAUGCAAACUAACGUAGGAACAGAAAAACAAAUACAACAUUUCUCAUUUAUAAGUGGGAGCUAAACAUUGAGUACAUAUGGAAACAAAGAAGGGAACAACAAACACCAGGGCCUACUUGAGGGUGCAGGGUGGGAGGAGGAUUGAAAAACUACCUAUGAGACACUAUGCUUAUUACCUGAGUAAUGAAACAAUCUACACCAAGCCCCCGAGACAUACAAUUUGCCUAUGUAACAAACCUGAACAUGUAACUCUGAACCUAAAAUACAAUUUGAAAUAAAAUAAAUACAAAGGAU